GAUGAACGCUGGCGGCGUGCCUAAUACAUGCAAGUCGAGCGAAUGGAUUAAGAGCUUGCUCUUAUGAAGUUAGCGGCGGACGGGUGAGUAACACGUGGGUAACCUGCCCAUAAGACUGGGAUAACUCCGGGAAACCGGGGCUAAUACCGGAUAACAUUUUGAACCGCACGGUUCGAAAUUGAAAGGCGGCUUCGGAUGUCACUUAUGGAUGUAUCCGCGUCGCAUUAGCUAGUUGGUGAGGUAACGGCUCACCAAGGCAACGAUGCGUAGCCGACCUGAGGGGGUGAUCGGCCACACUGGGACUGAGACACGGCCCAGACUCCUACGGGAGGCAGCAGUAGGGAAUCUUCCGCAAUGGACGAAAGUCUGACGGAGCAACGCCGCGUGAGUGAUGAAGGCUUUCGGGUCGUAAAACUCUGUUGUUAGGGAAGAACAAGUGCUAGUUGAAUAAGCUGGCACCUUGACGGUACCUAACCAGAAAGCCACGGCUAACUACGUGCCAGCAGCCGCAGUAA
rnacentral:rRNA from 1 species